GACCCGAAAUAUCCCUGUAUGCAACGUCACAACUCGCUGUUUUAUCUUGUUGUAUCACCAUCAGUGGUUGUGCUGUUGUUCGGGUAUCGUCGGUGUAAUGACCUCGCUGAAGGUCCUGUUCAGAAAAUUCUCAUUCUUUCGGACGAGCCAGAGGUCAUCUAGUUCUUGCUUCAGGGCUGCAACAACCUCCUUCAGAAGCUGAAUAUGUACACACCUACCACAGCUAUAGGAGCCAGAAACAUCAGUGUCCCUGACCUCCCACAUCAUGCAUGCAGCAGACUGAAUCAGCUUGGCAGUCAUGUCUUCACACUCUUCAACAGUGGCGUAAUCUCCUCACUGAGCCUCUUCGCCAAAAACCUUGCAUUUUACUCACCAGGCACCCCUCAACCCUUGUUUUUUGCUGUGAGUCUGUGGACUCUUAAUUCAGUUAGAGGAGGGUGGAAGGGAGGCCCUACCAUGUAGGGCCUGGGGCGGAGAACACACCUACUUAAAUAGCACUCACUUACCUUCCCAACUGCCUCUCUGCCCUGACCUCACGUCCGCCCGGCUCACGCCACUCUGCUGCAAAAAGCGUGCAUUUCCAGAUUUGCUGCCAGUAAGGGCUAAAAUUUUUUACUUCAAUGCACUUUGAGAUGACAGCUUCAGUCCCCAGGAAAUUUCCUGUACAAACGAUAGAAGGACUACCUAAACACUUCUUCAUAGGCGUGUGAAAGGCAUGGGGUCAGGAAGAUUGAAAUCACUCUUGUUGGAGACAGUUAGGACUGUAGAUGCUGGAAGUUAGAGUCAAUAAAUGUGGAGCUGGAAAAGCAUAGGUCAGACCUCAUCCAAGGAGCAGGGAAGUCAAUGUCUCCAGCCAAAACCCUUUGUCGGGACUCUGAGGAGCAGGGAAGUCAAUGUUUUCAGGCUGAACCCCUUUGUCAGGUCUCCAAGGAAGAUUUCCAAUUCAGACUAUAAACGGGACUAGCUAAGAAAAUCAGCGUUGUUGUAGACAGUAAGGACUGUAGAUGCUGGAAGUUAGAGUCAAUAAGUGUAGAACUGGAAAUGCAUAGCAGGUCAGACAGACAGAAGUCAAUAUUUCUAGCCAAAACUCUUCAUCGGGACUCUGAGGAGCAGGGAGCAGAGUCCUGAUAUGGGGUUUCAGCCUGAAACACUGACUUCCCUGCUCCUCAGAUGCAGUCUGAUCUGCUGUGCCUUUCCAGCUCCACAUUUCUUACUCACUCUUCUUGUAUCCCAGAUGUGUGACUCAUCUAUGUCCUAGAAAAACAAUGUAGUUGUAGACAUUAAGUGGGAUCAACUAUUAUGGAGAAUGUUAAUAAAUAGAUCUACAGGUCAUCCUGUACAGCAUUGGGCGUUAUGAUCGCUUUGUUCUAUUUAGUCCGAAGGCAUAAAAUCAACAAGAUCUCUUGAAGAGGUGGUUUGUCAAUGUAAGUCUUUCUUUCUUCAAAGUGCCUAUUAUGCUGACUGAGCUGCUACUUACAUAGGAGAAAGAAAUAAAGCGAAUGCAAGGAUGCCUCCCAGCUCAGUCUUUUAUUAAAAUCUUUUAUUCUUG